UUGUGUUCGUUUUAUAUAGGUGCUACUAUAUGUAGUUUAAAAGGGAAGUUCGGCACAAUUCCGACGCUGUCCCCGCAACUGUGAAGCUGACAAUGAUUACAACCACUGUGCAUUCGCAUGGGAAGGGAAUCAGAGGAUGAAGCAAAGCCAGGAGACCUGCCUCUAUAAAACAAUUAAU
rnacentral:ncRNA from 2 species